UCUAAGUGGGUGGUAAACUCCAUCUAAGGCUAAAUAUUACCACGAGACCGAUAGCGAACAAGUCCCGUGAGGGAAAGUUGAAAAGAACUUUAAAGAGAGAGUUCAAGAGUACGUGAAACCGUUCAGGGGUAAACCUGAGAAACCCGAAAGAUCGAACGGGGAGAUUCAUCGUCAGCGACUCUGGCUUCUCCGUGGUUCGCGAUGCCGGGGACACCCGUGUUCCACGGCACGCGGCCGCGGUCGUACGCCCGGUGGCGCCGGCGUGCACUUCUCCCCCAGUAGGACGUCGCGAUCCGUUGGGUGUCGGUCUACGGCUCGGUUGGUCGCCUGUCCCGGCGUUCGCGUCGGGGCAGACCCCCGGUUGCCCGGCGGUACACGCUCGGUAUAGAGUCGCAUCGAACUGCGUCGGGCCCGCCGCAAGCGAGGUCAGCGAUUCCCGGUGGUCGGACCUAGCGCCGUCCCCGGGCCUGGCCGGCUGUCGGCCGGCGGUGUCCUCUGACUGGCUCAUUUCGUACCCGUCGGCGACGCUAUUGCUUUGGGUACUUUCAGGAC
rnacentral:rRNA from 1 species